rnacentral:rRNA from 1 species
GACGAACGCUGGCGGCGUGCUUAACACAUGCAAGUCGAACGGUAAGGCCCUUCGGGGUACACGAGUGGCGAACGGGUGAGUAACACGUGGGUGAUCUGCCCUGCACUUCGGGAUAAGCCUGGGAAACUGGGUCUAAUACCGGAUAGGACCACUGCCUGCAUGGGUGGUGGUGGAAAGCUUUUGCGGUGUGGGAUGGGCCCGCGGCCUAUCAGCUUGUUGGUGGGGUAAUGGCCUACCAAGGCGACGACGGGUAGCCGGCCUGAGAGGGUGACCGGUGACACUGGGGCGGAGAUACGGCCCAGACUCCUACGGGAGGCAGCAGUGGGGAAUAUUGCACAAUGGGCGCAAGCCUGAUGCAGCGACGCCGCGUGAGGGAUGACGGCCUUCGGGUUGUAAACCUCUUUCAGCUAUGACGAAGCGCAAGUGACGGUAGUAGCAGAAGAAGGACCGGCCAACUACGUGCCAGCCGCCGCAGUAA